UGAUAUACACAGUGUGGCAACAAAAUAAUGGAAAUAAUGAUAAAAUAAGUAAUAAUUUAUUACACAUGGAAAAUGGGGAAAAUUGUUAUUUUUUUCUUGGAGGAUUCUUCAAGCUCAAAAAAAAAAAAAAUGUAUUCAGAAUUAUGAGUAUAGAAUAGUGAAGUGUAACGUUUUUGUAACUGGAUUUUUGUAUGCAUGCAUAAAAUAUAUAUGAUUUGAAUUAUCUUUAAUAAUUAAGGAGGAAACGUUUUAAUGAAGUUCACUGAUUAUAAGUGUAAGAAUUUAUUAGACCAUGAGAAUUUUACAUCACUACUCACUUCGGAGAAAAUAUUUAAAAAAAAAAAAAAAAUCGUGUAAAAACAUUACAUCUUCAUAUAACACAGAAUGAAGUAAAAUGCAUAAAAUAUAUCAAUAUGAUACAAUAGAAGAACGAAAAUUCCUCGAAAGAAUCGAGUCAAUGACCGAGCGUCAUAAACUUAGCAUUGCUUCCCAUAAUGAAAGGUUGUUUAUU